rnacentral:misc_RNA from 1 species
GAUGAAGAACGUAGCGAAAUGCGAUACGUAAUGUGAAUUGCAGAAUUCAGUGAAUCAUCGAGUCUUUGAACGCACAUUGCGCCCUCUGGUAUUCCGGGGGGCAUGCCUGUCCGAGCGUCAUUGCUGCCCUCAAGCACGGCUUGUGUGUUGGGCCUCCGUCCUCCUCCCGGGGGACGGGCCCGAAAGGCAGCGGCGGCACCGCGUCCGGUCCUCGAGCGUAUGGGGCUUCGUCACCCGCUCUUGUAGGCCCGGCCGGCGCUUGCCGACACAUCAAUCUUUUUUCCAGGUUGACCUCGGAUCAGGUAGGGAUACCCGCUGAACUUAAGCAUAUCAAUAAUCGGAGGA